AGUGAACGCUGGCGGUAGGCCUAACACAUGCAAGUCGAACGGCAGCACAGUAAGAGCUUGCUCUUACGGGUGGCGAGUGGCGGACGGGUGAGGAGUAUAUCGGAAUCUACUUUUUCGUGGGGGAUAACGUAGGGGAACUUACGCUAAUACCGCAUACGACCUACGGGGGAGAGCAGGGGAUCUUCGGACCUUGCGCGAGUGAAUGAGCCGAUGUCGGAUUAGCUAGUUGGCGGGGUAAAGGCCCACCAAGGCGACGAUCCGUAGCUGGUCUGAGAGGAUGAUCAGCCACACUGGAACUGAGACACGGUCCAGACUCCUACGGGAGGCAGCAGUGGGGAAUAUUGGACAAUGGGCGCAAGCCUGAUCCAGCCAUACCGCGUGGGUGAAGAAGGCCUUCGGGUUGUAAAGCCCUUUUGUUGGGAAAGAAAAGCAGUAGGUUAAUACCCCGCUGUUCUGACGGUACCCAAAGAAUAAGCACCGGCUAACUUCGUG
rnacentral:rRNA from 1 species